CUCUGUCUGGGGUGGAAAGGUAGGGGGGUGGAAAGGUAGACCUACUCUGUCUGGGGUGGAAAAGUAGACCUACUCUGUCUGGGGUGGAAGGCCCUACUUUUGAAAGUACCAUGCUCAGAAUCCUAUUGACGUCUCAGAUAAAAUUAUUUUCAAACAAGGACAGUUUUGUUUCAAACAAGACACCGUGAUUUGGCAUUGGAGAAACAUGAUAAGAUGAACACAUCUCUAUUUCUCGGUCUGACUAUCUCUCGGUCCAUUAGCCUGUCAUUUCUGUCAUUUGUGUGGUAUUAAAACAUAUUCUGCUAAUAUGUAAAAUAACAUAGAAAUGCAUUAAAUGUUUAUCCCCCUAAGGUCGCUGUCCACGCCCCCGUGGACAUCUAAUUAGCAUCAUAAUUUAAUCCCCAUAAAAAUCUGUCAGUUUAAACUGGAGAUGUC
rnacentral:lncRNA from 1 species